CAGCCGCCGCGGGAAUACGGAGGGUGCAAGCGUUAAUCGGAAUUACUGGGCGUAAAGCGUGCGUAGGCGGCUUGGUAAGUUAGAGGUGAAAGCCCGGAGCUCAACUCCGGAAUUGCCUUUAAGACUGCCGAGUUAGUAGGUGAGAGAGGUAAGUGGAAUUCCGAGUGUAGAGGUGAAAUUCGUAGAUAUUCGGAAGAACACCAGUGGCGAAGGCGGCUUACUGGCUCAUUCUAGACGCUGAGGUGCGAAAGCGUGGGGAGCAAACAGGAUUAGAUACCCGUGUAGUCCCUGUCUCUUAUAC
rnacentral:rRNA from 1 species